rnacentral:rRNA from 1 species
AAUAGAUACCCGGGUAGUCCACGCCGUAAACGAUGGAUGCUAGCUGUUAUGCGUAUCGACCCGUGUAGUAGCGAAGCUAACGCGUUAAGCAUCCCGCCUGGGGAGUACGAACGCAAGUUUAAAACUCAAAGGAAUUGACGGGGACCCGCACAAGCGGUGGAGCGUGUUCUUUAAUUCGAGGCUAAGCGAAGAACCUUACCAGGGCUUGACAUCCUUGGAAUUUCUCCGAAAGGAGAGAGUACUUUAUUGGACCAAGUGACAGGUGCUGCAUGGCCGUCGUCAGCUCGUGUCGUGAGAUGUUUGGUUAAGUCCAUUAACGAGCGCAACCCUUAUGAAUAGUUGUAUUUUCUAUUCAGACUGCCCCGGUAACGGGGAGGAAGGGGGGAUGAUGUCAGGUCAGUAUUGCCCUUACGCCCUGGGCUAGAAACGCGCUACAAUGGCCGGUACAAUGCGCUGCCAACCCGCGAGGGGGAGCAAAUCGCAUCAAAGCCGGUCCCAGUUCGGAUAAGAGGCUGAAACUCGCCUCUUGAAGCCGGAAUCGCUAGUAAUCGU